CGUUAGCGGCGGACGGGUGAGUAACACGUGGGUAACCUACCUAUAAGACUGGGAUAACUCCGGGAAACCGGGGCUAAUACCGGAUAAUACAUGAAACCGCAUGGUUUCAUGAUGAAAGACGGUUUUGCUGUCACUUAUAGAUGGACCCGCGGCGUAUUAGCUAGUUGGUAAGGUAACGGCUUACCAAGGCAACGAUACGUAGCCGACCUGAGAGGGUGAUCGGCCACACUGGAACUGAGACACGGUCCAG
rnacentral:rRNA from 1 species